GACGAACCGUGCGAACGUUAUUCGGAAUCACUGGGCUUAAAGCGCGUGUAGGCGGGAGGGCACGUCCGUCGCUGAAAUCCCCCGGCUCAACCGGGGAACGGGCGCGGAUACGGCCUUCCUGGAGGGGCGUAGGGGGACCUGGAACUUCCGGUGGAGCGGUGAAAUGCGUUGAGAUCGGAAGGAACGCCCGUGGCGAAAGCGAGGUCCUGGACGGCUACUGACGCUGAGACGCGAAAGCCAGGGGAGCGAACGGG
rnacentral:rRNA from 1 species